rnacentral:rRNA from 1 species
GAUUAGAGUUUGAUCAUGGCUCAGAUUGAACGCUGGCGGCAGGCCUAACACAUGCAAGUCGAGCGGAUGAAGUGAGCUUGCUCAUGGAUUCAGCGGCGGACGGGUGAGUAAUGCCUAGGAAUCUGCCUGGUAGUGGGGGACAACGUUUCGAAAGGAACGCUAAUACCGCAUACGUCCUACGGGAGAAAGCAGGGGACCUUCGGGCCUUGCGCUAUCAGAUGAGCCUAGGUCGGAUUAGCUAGUUGGUGAGGUAAUGGCUCACCAAGGCUACGAUCCGUAACUGGUCUGAGAGGAUGAUCAGUCACACUGGAACUGAGACACGGUCCAGACUCCUACGGGAGGCAGCAGUGGGGAAUAUUGGACAAUGGGCGAAAGCCUGAUCCAGCCAUGCCGCGUGUGUGAAGAAGGUCUUCGGAUUGUAAAGCACUUUAAGUUGGGAGGAAGGGUUGUAGAUUAAUACUCUGCAAUUUUGACGUUACCGACAGAAUAAGCACCGGCUAACUCUGUGCCAGCAGCCGCGGUAAUACAGAGGGUGCAAGCGUUAAUCGGAAUUACUGGGCGUAAAGCGCGCGUAGGUGGUUCGUUAAGUUGGAUGUGAAAUCCCCGGGCUCAACCUGGGAACUGCAUCCAAAACUGGCGAGCUAGAGUAUGGUAGAGGGUGGUGGAAUUUCCUGUGUAGCGGUGAAAUGCGUAGAUAUAGGAAGGAACACCAGUGGCGA